AUUUUCUUAGCUAUUCUCUAUUCUAGAUUAUGUUUUGAAUUAGCUUUUCCAGUUUAAUAGAAAAAUCUUUUUGAGAUUUUUGAUUUGGGGAGAAUUGACAGUUUUACAGAGCCCAGGAAAAUGGUGUUUCUCCUUGUUUGUUAAGCUCUUCCUGUUCUUCAGUGAAGUCUCACGGCUUUCUUCGUGUCGUCUGGGCUCAUUCUUAGUCCUGGAGUGCUUGGCUCUCGCGUUCUUACAUUCCAUAGCAGUCUGCAGAUUCCUAUGAACAGAAGAGCCUCUGAAUCUCAGAUUAGGCUGUGUUUCGAUCUGACAGGAAAGCUGGUUCCCUGAUAAAAAGUCCAGAAAUGCCCGCUCAGCUCAGCUACUCCUGAGGUCACCAGGGCCUUCUGUGCACUCCACGCUGCUGUUUUUGCUCAGGUUUUUGCCUCGAGGUUUCACAGUGGCUGCCAGAGCUCUGAACAUCACUGACACAUUCAUGGCAGGCACCAGGAAGCCUCCGGAGAAGGGACCUUUGCUUUCCAUGGAUCUGUUGGCUGAUCCGCAGCAGCAAGAGCCAUGUCUCCCAGAAGACUGCUCCCUCUGUCUCAUGAGCCAGCCUGGCUGCUCUGCUACAGGACACUCCUUGUUUUUAUGUCUCUCUGUGUAUUCCAGUGGGAUUUGGGGAAGGAGCGGCAUCGGGUGCAGGGACUCAGUGUGCCUUCUUGAAACCAGAAACCUCUCACGCUCUCUGGGCCUGUUUCCACUUCUGUUGAUGUGGUUUUUACUCCGUUGUAUGCCGUUGCUCUGUCUUCACACGGGCAGCCACACCUCUCCUGUUCGUUGAUGUUCUUGAGGCCUUGUUGCAUCCGCUCCUUCCUUCUUCAGAGGCUCCUUUGGAUGAGCCCAGCUCCUCAGCAGCAGAGUGCUCUUUAUUUUCUGUUUUUUUGAGACAGAGUCUUGCUCUGUUGCCCAGGCUGGAGUGCAGUGGCGCAAUCUCGGCUCACUGCAACCUCCGCCUCCCGGGUUCAAGUGAUUCCCCUGCCUCAGCCUCCUGAGUAGCUGGGGUCACAGGCGCGCACCACCACCACGCCCAGAAAAUUUUUGUAUUUUUAGUAGAGACGUUGUUGGCCAGGCUGGUCACCAGGAGCAGAGUGUUCUAAAAGCAUACCUCAGUCUGAUGGAUGACAUCCCAGCCAUCUGAAGAGUAACAUCCAGAUGUGUUGUAACAUUCCAGUGUGUUGUAACAUUCCUGUAACAUUCCAAUGUGUUGUAACAUUCUGGUGUGUUGUAACAUUCCUGUAACAUUCUGGUGUGUUGUAACAUUCCGGUGUGUUGUAACAUUUGGUGUUACGCGGUGUGUUGUAACUUUCUGGUGUGUUGUAACUUUCUGGUGUGUUGUAACAUUCUGGUGUGUUGUAACAAUCGCGGUGUGUUGUAACAUCCGGUGUGUUGUAACAUUCCAGUGUGUUGUAACAUUUGGUGUUACAUGCUGUGUUGUAACAUUCUGGUGUGUUGUAACAUUCCCGGUGUGUUGUAACGUUCCAGGGUGUGUUGUAACAUUCCGGUGUGGUGUUCCGGUCUGUUGUAACAUUCCAACAUUCCGGUGUGUUGGUGUGUUGUAACAUUCCAGUGUGUUGUAACAUUUGGUGUGUUGUAACAUUCCGGUGUGUUAACAUUCCGGUGUGUUGUCACAUUCUGGUGUGUUGUAACAUUCUGAUGUGAUUUCGGGACUCACCUGGGAGGACUUCUCAGGUGCUAAUUGGGGACACUAAGUUGCAGGCAAGACUGUGGAGAGUGAGUGCUAUGUAGUUUCCACCUGAUAUUUCUGGAGAUAAGAGGAACAGCGGAGACCAAACCCAUGACAGACAAGUUUCUACUAGCCUGUCUCCUGUAGACUAAACACAACCCCGGCUUCUCAGAGCCUCUUUGAUUUACCUUUGUUUUAACAUCAUAACCUUAAAUUUAUGAGUGAAAGAAAAUAACACUUCAAGAUGAAAGCAUCUCAGCACUGGGCACAGUGGCUCACGCCUGUAAUCCCAGCACUUUGGGAGGCUAAGGUGGGCAGAUCCCUUGAGCCCAGGAGUUCAAGACCAGUUUGGGCAACAUGGUGAAACCGUAUCUUUAC
rnacentral:lncRNA from 1 species